UAUGGGGAUACAUGUGUAGGC
rnacentral:misc_RNA from 1 species